CUCACCGAGGCAUAAACCGACAAACGUCCGAGAGGACUUUAUUUCCAAAAUUCCACGACAACACGUGCCCCAGUGUGUCGUGAUCGACCCUCAUCUUGCUGUGUGUUCUGUCCGUUUGCCAGUGUAAGUUCAGUGAAUUUCAUUAUUUAGCCUGUUGAAUAUAAAGACAGAAAAUAAAAAGAGACACAAAUACAAGUUAAAAUUUGGAAUUUGUUUCAUUGAUUUGGAAUUUGUUUUAAAAUUGCUAAUCAGUUGUAUUUAAAUAGGGCCCAAUAACAAAAGCUGAUUGAAAGUGCUUUAUAUUAUAAAGACCGUACAGUGCAAGAGAGAAAACCCCAACAAUCUGAUGAUCCCCUAUGAGCAAGCACUUGGCGACAGUGGGCAGGAAAAACCCCCUUUCAAUGGGAGGAAACCUGCGGCAGAACCAGGCUCAGGGAGGGGCGGCCAUCUGCCGAGACCGGUUGGGGGACUUGAAUCCACUUCUUAUCAAAUUUCUCUCUUGCUACGACAUUUGUGAUUUUAUAUAUUUGGGUAUUUAUCUGAAAGAAAAAGACAUGAAUACUGAGUUGGUGUUCAAAGCCACCAUUUCAAGUUGUGCGUUUAAACGGCUUGGUGAUGGCUUUGGCCAGUGCAGUGAAAAACCUGACAAUGGCAGACGGCGUCUUUUUCGGUUUUGACAGAUGUUCAGUCAAGCUAGUUGCAAUGAGUUUUACAGCUGUGGAUUUCUGUAACUCCAGAGCUACUUGAACACUUUCUACACUCCCAAAGACAUCGCGCAGGUCUUUGAGAAUGUGCUUUUCAAGAUUUUUAAGGGUUUGGGGAGUUAUAAUAAGUUCUUUAUCCUGCAGUUGGUCCCAUACUUCUUCCAGAACCCAACUGUGGAUGUUCUCUGAGCAGCCACAAGUGCACAUGAUGUUUAAUUUUUUAGCUAUACGGCUAUCAAUCUGCAAAGGAUUACUUUGAUAUAAGCUUUACGUACAGAAGCGUCUGGCACAGUAUGGUCAGGUUUUGGAUGGGAUGUUGGGACACUUGUCUGUGGUUCUGUCACUGACUGUGUACCGCGUAAUGCGAGCAUUACGCUCUGACUCUGGCUCUCAGCCUGGGUGAAAAACCACCA
ensembl:lncRNA